rnacentral:tRNA from 1 species
CGCUAGGAAGCUAAAAAUUGGAUAAAGCAUUGGCCUUUUAAGCCAAAAACUGGUAAUUACCGACUACCCCUAGUGA